CUUCGGAUAUGAGUAGAGCGGCGAACGGGUGAGUAACGCGUAGGAAUGUACCUAGUAGAAGGGGAUAGCCCGAGGAAACUCGGAUUAAUACCGUAUACCUCCUUCGGGAGAAAGAGGGCCUCUCUUUGAAGCUUUCGCUACUAGAUCAGCCUGCGUAAGAUUAGCUUGUUGGUGAGGUAAUGGCUCACCAAGGCUACGAUCUUUAGCUGGUCUGAGAGGACGAUCAGCCACAUUGGGACUGAGACACGGCCCAGACUCCUACGGGAGGCAGCAGUGGGGAAUAUUGGACAAUGGGCGCAGGCCUGAUCCAGCCAUACCGCGUGUGUGAAGAAGGCCUUCGGGUUGUAAAGCACUUUAAGCAGGGAGAAAAAAAUAUAGGUUAAUACCCUAUGUUCUUGAUGUUACCUGCAGAAUAAGCACCGGCUAAUUCCGUGCCAGCAGCCGCGGUAAUACGGAAGGUGCAAGCGUUAAUCGGAAUUACUGGGCGUAAAGCGCGCGUAGGUGGUUUGUUAAGUUGGAUGUGAAAGCCCUGGGCUCAACCUAGGAACUGCAUCCAAAACUGACUGACUAGAGUACGAUAGAGGGAGGUAGAAUUCAUAGUGUAGCGGUGGAAUGCGUAGAUAUUAUGAAGAAUACCAGUGGCGAAGGCGGCCUCCUGGAUCUGUACUGACACUGAGGUGCGAAAGCGUGGGUAGCGAACAGGAUUAGAUACCCUGGUAGUCCACGCCGUAAACGAUGACAACUAGCUGUUGGGAGGCAAUGCCUUUCAGUGGCGCAGCUAACGUUUUAAGUCGUCCGCCUGGGGAGUACGGCCGCAAGGCUAAAACUCAAAUGAAUUGACGGGGACCCGCACAAGCGGUGGAGCAUGUGGUUUAAUUCGAUGCAACGCGAAAACCUUACCUGCUCUUGACAUACUU
rnacentral:rRNA from 1 species